rnacentral:snRNA from 14 species
GAACUUUGCCAGUACAUAAGUUAAAAUUGGAAUAAUACAGAGAUUAGCAUGACCCCUGAGCAAAUUCAUAAGGGGCUCUCUCUCUCU